CCAUAACAAGCCGAUGACCGAAGAGGUAUCUUGUAUGAUGUCAUCGUGGCUGUAUAUAAAGCCUCAUAUGCUGGGGUUAGGUCCAUACUGCAGCUUGUAAUCUUCUCUCUAAGUUUGUAAGUUGUUAUGAGAAAACAAAUAAAGAGGGCAUAGGCCACUUGUAGCUAAACAUCUCUAGAUAUUAUGUUUGUGUUUUUAUUUUUUAUUUUCCCUUUGAGCGAAGCCUUACUGAUGAUGAAGAACCUCAACUGAUUUCCUCUGGUUUCUUCCCUGAUUUUGCACUAACUUUGGUGUCGGAGACCGCAACUGAUUUCCUGACAACUUGAAACCGGAUUGAUGGAGGCUUUUGAGGCAGUUUUUUAUCGGCUUUAAUUUGAACUUCUUCACGGCUUCAAGCUAUCUCUUCUUCAAAUUGUCUCAAUCGUUCCCUAUCAAACUGAAACAGCAAAUCUUUGUUAUCCUUAAGAUCUUCAUCAAUGAUCCUUUGAGUAAUUUCUUUCGGUUUCUGGAAUAUUGAUCUGAUUAGUGCUUCACCUUCUUCUUUUUUCAAGCUCUUAUCCUCGGCAGCUGUGCUCUGCCUACUCCUGUGGCCUCAAGCAUAGAAUCCACACUAACAGUUGCAUGUUUUCAUUUCUUCCAGUGCUUCAAGAAUAUCCCAUCUCCUUUUUUGAAGUCAAGGUUCUAUUCUCCAAAGCGUCUCUUCAGCAUCUCUCUUCUUUUUCGGCUUGCCUGCUUCCUUAUCCUCCACAGGCCGAGGUUCGAAUACAACUUAACCGACUCUUCUCAGGAUUUGGGAUUUAUUUUUGCUUUUAAGGCACUGGGGCUUUUCUUCUCUUGUCGAACAGUUUCAAAUAUAAACGGUUAAUGUUGAGGCACCGAUGCAGGGAUCAAUAGUUUAGACAUAGAGAGGUAUUGUUUAGGAAUUGUGUAUCAUUCCCAUGUCGAGAACAUGUUUGAUAAAAUGCCCAAGAAGGAACCAUAUGUCCAACAUUCCAACCUGUUGUGUUGAACAGAAAGAUAAUGCAUCUGUUACUCCAACUCUAUGAUUUCCCAAGAAAACAAUCAAUAUGUGAAUGUUUAGGCCAGUAGGUUGUAAGAACCAGGCAAAAAGCAGAACAAUUUCAAUUCUUUGAAACAGAGAGCAGUUAAGUAAAUUCAUAACUUCUUUUAUAAUAUGCAAACUGUAUUACUUCUAUGUGAAUUGCUGUCAGUGUAGUUCAACAGAGUGUUUCAGACUCAUGAAAACAACUGGAAAAGUUAAAUCAAAUAAUAGCAAAUUCAAAUCUUAGGUGGCUACUUCUUUGGGCUCCGUCAAAAGUUCAGGUUUGACAGCUGGUUCUCUAAUAAUCUCCCGCACGCAAAAUUCUACGAUGCCGUGAUUAAAAUUACGGCAUCAAUGUCAUGAUAAACUUAAAUUUUAUGAAUUACGUAUAAAAUUAGAAAAUAAAAGAUAAAAUAAGUAAAU
rnacentral:lncRNA from 1 species